rnacentral:rRNA from 1 species
GACGAACGCUAGCGGCGUGCUUAACACAUGCAAGUCGAACGGAAAGGCCCUGCUUUUGUGGGGUGCUCGAAUGGCGAACGGGUGAGUAACCCGUGAGUAACCUGCCCUUGACUUUGGGAUAACUUCAGGAAACUGGGGCUAAUACCAGAUAGGAGCUCCUGCUGCAUGGUGGGGGUUGGAAAGUUUCUGCUGUUGGGGAUGGACUCGCGGCUUAUCAACUUGUUGGUGGGGUAGUGACUUACCAAGGAUUUGACGGGUAGCCGGCCUGAGAGGGUGACCGGCGACAUUGGUACUGUGAUAGAGGCGAGACUCCGACGAGAGGCAGGAGUGGGGAAUAUUGCACAAUGGGCGGAAGUCUGAUGCAGCAACGAAGCGUGCGGGAUAACGGCCUUCGGGUUGUAAACCGCUUUCGCCUGUGACGCAGCGUGAGUGACGGUAAUGGGUAAAGAAGCACCGGCUAACUACGUG